CCCGACGGCGAAGGAGGCCGUAGCCGUGAGGGGCGCGAACCACCCGCGCUAACGGCCGGUCACAGGGCGAUGGGGCAGGGCGGCGGAGCCCCCCGAGGGAGCGGCUGUGGGAGCUGCGGGGAGCUGUGCCUUGCCCUCACCUCGCGGGCGCGCUGGCAAAGUACAAAUAAAGCGUAUUUGCCCUCACGGGGAAUUAAAAGGCCUUUUCGUCACGCUUUCGCUGGGAUUUCCUGAAGAGAGAUGCUAACGUGAAACUCCGGGACCUCGCUGAGGGCUGGAAUGAGCCCCGGUAUCGGUGGUGGGCGGCUUUGCCUGGGCUCCCGCAUCCACCCAGCCGCCAGGUGCAGAUCCAGUUUGGUGAAACUCGGCGCGCUGAAGAGUGUUCGAAGCUUGAAGCUGACCACUGCAAAGGCCACUUGUCACAUUUACUGAAAAUCAGCCUAUUGAUAUCACAGCUGAAAAUAUAAACUCGACAACCAAAGCCCAUUGCACAACGUGGACUGCGUAAGAGUUAAAAAUAGAUGCGACGUGCCUCCUACCUGCAUAAUAAAUAUUCCCUCAAAAUCCUGAGCAGUAUUGACAAACCACACAAGCACAGGGUCUGACUGCAUGAUCAGCUGUCUGUGUCUACGCUACACCCUGUUAACCACAAGCAGUGUUAGAGCUAAAUAUAUCUGCAAUGCAGAAACGAAAGCAAGACUUGGCAAUCAGCUGAUGACUCUUCUCCCUACCAAUCUUGUGAGCAACACUUGCAGAGGGAUCGUGGUAAAAAGAAACCGUAAAGAGCAGCGGCUCUUUACCACACGAUUCACCGAGCACGUCCACAAACCACAACAGGGCCCGCGGCUCACAAGGCCCGGGG